rnacentral:rRNA from 1 species
AUUGAACGCUGGCGGCAUGCUUUACACAUGCAAGUCGAACGGCAGCGCGGGCUUCGGCCUGGCGGCGAGUGGCGAACGGGUGAGUAAUGCAUCGGAACGUGCCCAGUAGUGGGGGAUAGCCCGGCGAAAGCCGGAUUAAUACCGCAUACGACCUGAUGGUGAAAGCGGGGGACCGAAAGGCCUCGCGCUAUUUGAGCGGCCGAUGUCGGAUUAGCUAGUUGGUGGGGUAAAGGCUUACCAAGGCGACGAUCCGUAGCUGGUCUGAGAGGACGACCAGCCACACUGGGACUGAGACACGGCCCAGACUCCUACGGGAGGCAGCAGUGGGGAAUUUUGGACAAUGGGGGCAACCCUGAUCCAGCCAUGCCGCGUGCGGGAAGAAGGCCUUCGGGUUGUAAACCGCUUUUGUUCGGGAAGAAAUCCUCUGGGCUAAUACCCCGGGGGGAUGACGGUACCGGAAGAAUAAGCACCGGCUAACUACGUG